rnacentral:rRNA from 2 species
AAAUUGAAGAGUUUGAUCAUGGCUCAGAUUGAACGCUGGCGGCAGGCCUAACACAUGCAAGUCGAGCGGUAGCACAGAGAGCUUGCUCUCGGGUGACGAGCGGCGGACGGGUGAGUAAUGUCUGGGAAACUGCCUGAUGGAGGGGGAUAACUACUGGAAACGGUAGCUAAUACCGCAUAAUGUCGCAAGACCAAAGUGGGGGACCUUCGGGCCUCAUGCCAUCAGAUGUGCCCAGAUGGGAUUAGCUAGUAGGUGGGGUAACGGCUCACCUAGGCGACGAUCCCUAGCUGGUCUGAGAGGAUGACCAGCCACACUGGAACUGAGACACGGUCCAGACUCCUACGGGAGGCAGCAGUGGGGAAUAUUGCACAAUGGGCGCAAGCCUGAUGCAGCCAUGCCGCGUGUGUGAAGAAGGCCUUCGGGUUGUAAAGCACUUUCAGCGGGGAGGAAGGCGAUAAGGUUAAUAACCUUGUCGAUUGACGUUACCCGCAGAAGAAGCACCGGCUAACUCCGUGCCAGCAGCCGCGGUAAUACGGAGGGUGCAAGCGUUAAUCGGAAUUACUGGGCGUAAAGCGCACGCAGGCGGUCUGUCAAGUCGGAUGUGAAAUCCCCGGGCUCAACCUGGGAACUGCAUUCGAAACUGGCAGGCUAGAGUCUUGUAGAGGGGGGUAGAAUUCCAGGUGUAGCGGUGAAAUGCGUAGAGAUCUGGAGGAAUACCGGUGGCGAAGGCGGCCCCCUGGACAAAGACUGACGCUCAGGUGCGAAAGCGUGGGGAGCAAACAGGAUUAGAUACCCUGGUAGUCCACGCCGUAAACGAUGUCGAUUUGGAGGUUGUGCCCUUGAGGCGUGGCUUCCGGAGCUAACGCGUUAAAUCGACCGCCUGGGGAGUACGGCCGCAAGGUUAAAACUCAAAUGAAUUGACGGGGGCCCGCACAAGCGGUGGAGCAUGUGGUUUAAUUCGAUGCAACGCGAAGAACCUUACCUGGUCUUGACAUCCACAGAACUUUCCAGAGAUGGAUUGGUGCCUUCGGGAACUGUGAGACAGGUGCUGCAUGGCUGUCGUCAGCUCGUGUUGUGAAAUGUUGGGUUAAGUCCCGCAACGAGCGCAACCCUUAUCCUUUGUUGCCAGCGGUCCGGCCGGGAACUCAAAGGAGACUGCCAGUGAUAAACUGGAGGAAGGUGGGGAUGACGUCAAGUCAUCAUGGCCCUUACGACCAGGGCUACACACGUGCUACAAUGGCAUAUACAAAGAGAAGCGACCUCGCGAGAGCAAGCGGACCUCAUAAAGUAUGUCGUAGUCCGGAUUGGAGUCUGCAACUCGACUCCAUGAAGUCGGAAUCGCUAGUAAUCGUAGAUCAGAAUGCUACGGUGAAUACGUUCCCGGGCCUUGUACACACCGCCCGUCACACCAUGGGAGUGGGUUGCAAAAGAAGUAGGUAGCUUAACCUUCGGGAGGGCGCUUACCACUUUGUGAUUCAUGACUGGGGUGAAGUCGUAACAAGGUAACCGUAGGGGAACCUGCGGUUGGAUCACCUCCUUACCUUAAAGAA